GGGGUUGUGGCUCAGUGGUAAAGUGCUUGCCUAGCAUGCAUGAGGCUCCAGGUUCAAUCCUCAGCACCA
rnacentral:tRNA from 1 species